AACGAACGCUGGCGGCAGGCUUAACACAUGCAAGUCGAACGCAUCCUUCGGGGUGAGUGGCAGACGGGUGAGUAACGCGUGGGAACGUGCCCUUCAGUUCGGAAUAACCCAGGGAAACUUGGGCUAAUACCGGAUACGUGCGAGAGCAGAAAGAUUUAUCGCUGAAGGAUCGGCCCGCGUCUGAUUAGCUAGUUGGUGAGGUAAUGGCUCACCAAGGCGACGAUCAGUAGCUGGUCUGAGAGGAUGAUCAGCCACAUUGGGACUGAGACACGGCCCAAACUCCUGCGGGAGGCAGCAGGGGGGAAUAUUGGACAAUGGGCGCAAGCCUGAUCCAGCCAUGCCGCGUGAGUGAUGAAGGCCUUAGGGUUGUAAAGCUCUUUCAGUGGGGACGAUAAUGACGGUACCCGCAGAAGAAGCCCCGGCUAACUUCGUGCCAGCCGCCGCCGUAA
rnacentral:rRNA from 1 species